rnacentral:rRNA from 1 species
AUUGAACGCUGGCGGCAUGCCUCACACAUGCAAGUCGAACGGCAGCACGGGAGCAAUCCUGGUGGCGAGUGGCGAACGGGUGAGUAAAGUAUCGGAACGUGCCCAGUCGUGGGGGAUAACGUAGCGAAAGUUACGCUAAUACCGCAUACGAUCUAUGGAUGAAAGCGGGGGAUCGCAAGACCUCGCGCGAUUGGAGCGGCCGAUAUCAGAUUAGGUAGUUGGUGGGUUAAAGGCUCACCAAGCCGACGAUCUGUAGCUGGUCUGAGAGGACGACAAGCCACACUGGGACUGAGACACGGCCCAGACUCCUACGGGAGGCAGCAGUGGGGCAUUUUGGACAAUGGGCGAAAGCCUGAUCCAGCCAUGCCGCGUGCAGGAUGAAGGCCUUCGGGUUGUAAACUGCUUUUGUACGGAACGAAAAGGUUUGGCCUAAUAAGCUGAGCUCAUGACGGUACCGUAAGAAUAAGCACCGGCUAACUACGUGCCAGCAGCCGCGGUAA